CCUACGGGGGGCUGCAGUGAGGAAUAUUGGUCAAUGGACGCAAGUCUGAACCAGCCAUGCCGCGUGCAGGAAGACGGCUCUAUGAGUUGUAAACUGCUUUUGUACGAGGGUAAACGCAGAUACGUGUAUCUGUCUGAAAGUAUCGUACGAAUAAGGAGCGGCUAACUCCGUGCCAGCAGCCGCGGUAAUACGGAGGAUUCAAGCGUUAUCCGGAUUUAUUGGGUUGAAGGGGUGCAUAGGCGGUCGGAUAAGUUAGGGGUGAAAGCCCGGGGCUCAACUUCGGAAUUGCUUGUGAUACGGUUCGGCUAGAGAGUAGUUGCGGUAGGCGGAAUGUAUGGUGUAGCGGUGAAAUGCUUAGAGAUCAUACAGAACACCGAUUGCGAAGGCAGCUUACCAAGCUACUUCUGACGUUGAGGCACGAAAGCGUGGGGAGCAAACAGGAUUAGAUACCCUGGUAGUC
rnacentral:rRNA from 1 species